UGCAGCCAGGCUAACAGAAACCCAGCCCUGCCCACUGGGUGAAACUGCAAGUCGAGAGCGUGGGAAACCAGCAAGUUGAGAGAGGAUCCAGAAGUAACCCCUUCUAAAACGGGAAAGAUGCCUUCCGAAAGCACUUGGCCCUAAAGAGAAAACACUAGGAGGAUGGGAACCAGGGACAGAGAAGCUACUUGCUCUGCAGCUGUUUGGGCCAGUAUGUUCCCUAAUCUUGAUGGCCAUCCUGGGCUUAUUUUCCUGAGAGUCUCUAAGUGACUCACUGCAUCAUGUAAAACUAAGAAAAAGGAUGUCCUGAAUUUUCCUGCUUA